rnacentral:rRNA from 1 species
GGUAGUAUAAAACUAUUAUGUAAUGGCGGUCUUUACAAAUUAGAGAAACUCGCUUUAUAAUCGAAAAUACCCGUUAAUUUUAACUUAGAAUAACAAGUCUAUAUACCGCCGUUUAGAAUUAAUCUAAAAUAUUAAACUCCUAAAGGUAUUAAUCCCUAAAAAUCAGGUCAAGGUGUAGCCAAUAUCUAAGGAAAAGUAAGUUACAUUAAAAAUAAUUUAAGAAAUUAAUCUAAAGAUGAUUAGAAAGAGAAUUUAUCUGUACAUACUAGUUAAAAUUUAGUAUUGAACUAAAAAUUAAAGAUGC